UCAGGGCCUGACGGUUGCUAGGGUGACAGGGACACAACAUGGCGGCGGGAUCCCUAACGCUCUCCUUCGAGGGACCACCACGGAGAUCUUAGUGCGGGACCCCGCCUCAGGGAAGUGGAAAGAAGGGGGACAACCUUCCUGCUUCUUUCUUUUCCGUCCAGUGUCGGCAAGGGGUUGUCACCGGCUUCCGCAUCCAAGAUGAAGAACUAUAAAGCAAUUGGCAAAAUAGGAGAGGGAACGUUUUCUGAAGUUAUGAAGAUGCAAAGCCUGAGAGAUGGAAACUACUAUGCAUGUAAACAAAUGAAGCAGCGCUUUGAAAGCCCCUGGGAAGAUUGUGUGGUUACGUAACGGACAUGGUUUCCCGGUGAUGAAGCACAUCCUGGGUCUGCCAUCUGCCAGAUUCCUCACACACCAAAAGUGCCUGGUCCACCUGAAUCUUGGCUUCCUUGUCAUAGUGCUUGACGACUAAGC
rnacentral:sRNA from 1 species